rnacentral:rRNA from 1 species
CGAGCGACAGACGAGGAGCUUGCUCCUCUGACGUUAGCGGCGGACGGGUGAGUAACACGUGGAUAACCUACCUAUAAGACUGGGAUAACUUCGGGAAACCGGAGCUAAUACCGGAUAACAUGUUGAACCGCAUGGUUCAACAGUGAAAGACGGUCUUGCUGUCACUUAUAGAUGGAUCCGCGCCGCAUUAGCUAGUUGGUAAGGUAACGGCUUACCAAGGCAACGAUGCGUAGCCGACCUGAGAGGGUGAUCGGCCACACUGGAACUGAGACACGGUCCAGACUCCUACGGGAGGCAGCAGUAGGGAAUCUUCCGCAAUGGGCGAAAGCCUGACGGAGCAACGCCGCGUGAGUGAAGAAGGUCUUCGGAUCGUAAAACUCUGUUAUUAGGGAAGAACAAAUGUGUAAGUAACUAUGCACGUCUUGACGGUACCUAAUCAGAAAGCCACGGCUAACUACGUGCCAGCAGCCGCGGUAAUACGUAGGUGGCAAGCGUUAUCCGGAAUUAUUGGGCGUAAAGCGCGCGUAGGCGGUUUUUUAAGUCUGAUGUGAAAGCCCACGGCUCAACCGUGGAGGGUCAUUGGAAACUGGAAAACUUGAGUGCAGAAGAGGAAAGUGGAAUUCCAUGUGUAGCGGUGAAAUGCGCAGAGAUAUGGAGGAACACCAGUGGCGAAGGCGACUUUCUGGUCUGUAACUGACGCUGAUGUGCGAAAGCGUGGGGAUCAAACAGGAUUAGAUACCCUGGUAGUCCAC